ACCGGAACAGGUUCCGCGGCGGCGCCAGGCUUGUGGCGGCUGCAGGUUCCGGAGGCUCUCCGGCUCCCUCUCCGCCCGUCUCCCUUCUUCUCCUUGGGGGCAGGUGGAGACCUCUCAUCUACCAUGGCAUCACGACUUGCUCCAAAAGUGAAUUCCAGACAGGGAGAGUCUCAGUGCAAGGAGAAACAUGUGGUUCUGCUCAGCCCUGUGGGGAAGCUCAAGAUCUCUGGGUGUGAAAUAGGCUUGCAUGAGAUCAAACUUCCAAAGAUGAGCAUGCUGCCA